UUGUACACCUUAAACUUACACAGUGUUAUAUGUCAAUUAUAUCUCAAUUUAAAAAAUUAUAUAUGGUAAUGAUUAAGAGAGUGCACUCUGGAAUCAGCUGUGUUCAAAUUCCAGCCCUGACACUGAAUACCUGUGAACCUAGAGUGAGUUAAAGCAUAAUAACUCAGGGUUAUGAAAUUUAAAUGUUUACACAUAUGAAGCUAUUAUAGGAUAAGCAUGUCAAAGAUGCUCAAUAACUGUGAACCUUAUUAGUAUUAGGAUGUUGUGAUAAACAUGAAAUUGACCUGUACAACAGACAGACCCAUUCUUUUGGAUGAGCAAUGCACUGAUGCACUAAAGGCAUUUGUCAACCUGUAGUAAUGAAAUAAGUUUUCACAAGAGAUAUUGAUAGAUGACACAGAUUUUAUCUGUCCCACUUUCCAGACUGACAUGAGUCCGGUCUUAAUAGGAAAUACAGAGUCUAAAUCUGAGUUCUCGUCUCCACAAAAAGCAGGCACAGAGAGACUGUAAUCUCCUUCAGAGAUGGUGCCUGUCUCCUGUGUAUCCUCCACAGGGUUCUCACCAGCACCUCCAUCAGCAGAGCCUAAAAAGGAAAUCAGGGGGCACGGAGUUCUGGGAAACGUGGUUUGCGACAGCCAGCAUCACACAGUGGAAUUGAGACAAGUAGGCUUGGCCUGACACCAAAGAAGUGGCAGGCUCCAGGGGCUCAGCUGUUGUUCCUGUCUAUCUGAGGGGCUGGCCAUUGUGCCCUCAUGUGACAGGUCACCUCAUCUGGUCCAGGCUCUUAACAAGAAGAGUGAGACAGUGAGGACACGGGGCCAGAAUAAAGCACAAGGAACCCACCAAUCACCCGGGCUGAAAGUCAAUCCCCUUUAUCCAUGUGAAACUUAGUACUGGCUCCACAUCCAAACUACUGUGUUAUAACGAGCUACAUUAGCCAACUUUAUAAUUAAGGCCCAUAGACUUCAACUACUCCAGCAGAAAAUUUCUGCCAAAUUCUCAUUACAAAGUGACACUUUUUGUGAGAUAUUUCAGGAACCUCAGCAGAAAGAAGAAAGUGCCCCAAGAUAUCCUAACUAAAUGCCUUUCGAAUAAUUGUAAAGGAAGUGCUUUUUCAAAAAUACAGACUACAUGAAUUCCUUUAUAACCACAGAAGUGCCAUCGAUUGAAUGUUUGUGUCCCCCCAAAAUUCAUAUGCUGAAACCUAACCCUCAGGGUGAGGGUAUUAGGAAGUGAGGCCUUUAGGAGGUGAUUAGGUCAUGAAGGUGGAGCCCCCGUCAAUGGGAUUAGUGCCCUUAUCAAAGGGACCUCACAGGGCUCCCUCACCCCUUCUCCUGCGUGAGGACACAGCGAGAAGACAGCUGUUGAUGAGCCAGGAAACAAAACCCUUACUAGACAUCGAUCUGUUGGUGCCUUGAUCUUGGACUCCCAGCCUCUAGAGCCAUGAGGAGUCAGUGUUGUAUUUCUGAAGCCCCUCGGUCUGUGGGGUGCUGUUACGGCAGCCCGAACAAAUGGAGACAAGAGGCAAGAUUGAAGAUAUGCCUCAGCAUGUACUUGUUUAUCAGUUCAUUAAUUCACUCAGUGAAAAGGCUUUUUCUUUUUCUUAAAAGAUUUUAUUUAUUUGACAGAGACACAGCAAGA